GAGGAAAGAGAUAUUUUAUUAAUCAUAUCAAAGAACGAAAACUUUCCAUGAAUCGUUAUCUUAGAACGAUUAGACUUGAUAGUUAAAAAGAAGCUUGUUUACUUGAUGUUAUGUGAUGCAAUACUGGGUCAUACGAUGCCGUCGCGUCGCUUCGAGAAUGUGCUGCGCAUGCAUUCGACUGACCGACCGAUAAACGACGUUCCUAAAAAAUAUGUCCAAAGGAAAAUCAUUACUUAUUUGGAAAAACAUUUCAAAAGAAUACAAAUUAAUUUAUAUUACUGAUCUAGGGCAUGAUUUUACAUUUUAUUCUUUAUAAAAAUAAAACAAAACAAAGUGAAACAAUAAAAAGAAGGAAGAAUUGAUUUCAAUCAAUUUCAAUGUAUGUAUCAUUACUCUCUACUGUACUAAAAUAUAAAAAUGA